UUGAAGUACUCGAUUCUUAGUU
rnacentral:siRNA from 1 species